GAUUGAGCCUUGGUAUGGAAACCUGCUAAGUGGUAACUUCCAAAUUCAGAGAAACCCUGGAAUGAAAAAUGGGCAAUCCUGAGCCAAAUCUUUAUGUUAAGAAAACAAAGGAUAGGUGCAGAGACUCAAUGGAAGCUGUUCUAACAAAUGGAAUUGACGUUGACUACGUUGCGUUGGUAGCUGGAAUCCCUAUAUCGAAAUUACAGAAAGAAAGGAUGACCCUAUAUGCGUAUAUAUACAUACUGACAUAUCAAACGAUUAAUCACAACUCGAAUCUGGAAUCCAUAUUAUUAACUAUAACUAUAGUUAUAGAUAUUAUAGUUAUUAUUAUAACUAUUUUCUUUAUAUAUUUAAUAAAGAUAUAUUUUUUGAUAAAUUUAUAGAUUAAUUAAGAGUUAUUAUAAAUAUAUUCCAGUCGAAGUUGAAGGAAGAAUCGAAUAUUCAGUGAUCAAAUAAUUCAUUCCGGAGUCGGAUAGAUCUUUUGAAAAAAUGAUUAAUCGGACGAGAAUAAAGAGAGAGUCCUGUUCUACGUGUCAAUACCGACAGCAAUGAAAUUUAUAGUAUUAGGAAAAUCCGUCGACUUUAGAAAUCGUGA
rnacentral:precursor_RNA from 1 species